UACGUAGGGCGCAAGCGUUAUCCGGAAUUAUUGGGCGUAAAGAGCUCGUAGGCGGUUUGUCGCGUCUGCCGUGAAAGUCCGGGGCUCAACUCCGGAUCUGCGGUGGGUACGGGCAGACUAGAGUGCGGUAGGGGAGAUUGGAAUUCCUGGUGUAGCGGUGGAAUGCGCAGAUAUCAGGAGGAACACCGGUGGCGAAGGCGGUUCUCUGGGCAUGAUCUGACGCUGAGGAGCGAAAGUGUGGGGAGCGAACAGG
rnacentral:rRNA from 1 species